UGGGGAUAUUGGACAAUGGGGGCAACCCUGAUCCAGCCAUGCCGCGUGUGUGAAGAAGGCCUUUUGGUUGUAAAGCACUUUAAGCAGUGAAGAAGACCUAAUGGUUAAUACCCAUUAGCGAUGACAUUAGCUGCAGAAUAAGCACCGGCUAACUCUGUGCCAGCAGCCGCGGUAAUACAGAGGGUGCAAGCGUUAAUCGGAAUUACUGGGCGUAAAGCGAGCGUAGGUGGCUUGAUAAGUCAGAUGUGAAAUCCCCGGGCUUAACCUGGGAACUGCAUCUGAUACUGUUAGGCUAGAAUAGGUGAGAGGAAGGUAGAAUUCCAGGUGUAGCGGUGAAAUGCGUAGAGAUCUGGAGGAAUACCGAUGGCGAAGGCAGCCUUCUGGCAUCAUAUUGACACUGAGGUUCGAAAGCGUGGGUAGCAAACAGGAUUAGAUACCCUGGUAGUCCACGCCGUAAACGAUGUCUACUAGUCGUUGGGUCCCUUGAGGACUUAGUGACGCAGCUAACGCAAUAAGUAGACCGCCUGGGGAGUACGGCCGCAAGGUUAAAACUCAAAUGAAUUGACGGGGGCCCCGCACAAGACGAGGUUGAGGCAAGUCAGACG
rnacentral:rRNA from 1 species